rnacentral:rRNA from 1 species
CCCGGUGGUUUACUAAACGGCUGCGGUAUCCUGACCGUACGAAGGUAGCAUAAUAAGUAGUUUUUUAAUUGGAGACUGGAAUGAAUGGUCGAAUAAGAAAGAGACUGUUUAAUAAUAAGAAUAAAAAUUGAUUAUCAGGUACAAAGGCCUGGAUUUUGUAAAGUGACAAGAAGACCCUAGGAGUUUUAUAGUGUUGUUAAGUGACGUGCUUAUUAUUGUGUUGGCGGGACUUAAGUUUACUAUUUAACUGGGGCGGUUAAAAUUUAUCUUUUUUGUGGCUUACCUAAUUAGUGGGAGUAGAUUGAUAAAAUAUCCUGGUUGGAAAGCAGAAUAAAUUACCUUAGGGAUAACAGCAUAAUCUCCUUUGAGAGACCUUAUUGACAGGGGGGUUUGUGACCUCGAUGUUGGAUUUGAAUAACUGCAAGGAGCAGAAUUUUUGCAAGUUGGUUUGUUCAACCAUUAAAUUUCAACGUGAUCUGAGUUCAAACC